rnacentral:rRNA from 1 species
AGCGAACGCUGGCGGCAGGCUUAACACAUGCAAGUCGAGCGGGCAUCCUUGUGGUGUCAGCGGCAGACGGGUGAGUAACGCGUGGGAACGUGCCCUUCGGUUCGGAAUAACUCAGGGAAACUUGAGCUAAUACCGGAUACGUUCGAGAGCAGAAAGGUUUAUCUGCCGAAGGAUCGGCCCGCGUCUGAUUAGCUAGUUGGUGAGGUUAUGGCUCACCAAGGCGACGAUCAGUAGCUGGUCUGAGAGCAUGAUCAGCCACACUGGGACUGAGACACGGCCCAGACUCAUACGGGAGGCAGCAGUGGUGAAUAUUGGACAAUGGGGGCAACCCUGAUCCAGCCAUGCCGCGUGAGUGAUGACGGCCUUAGGGUUGUAAAGCUCUUUUCUCCGGGACGAUAAUGACGGUACCGGAGGAAUAAGCCCCGGCUAACUUCGU